AUGCCUACGGGACGCAGCAGUGGGGAAUAUUGGGCAAUGGGCGCAAGCCUGACCCAGCAACGCCGUGUGAAGGAAGAAGGCCCUCGGGUUGUAAACUUCUUUUAUUCGGGACGAAACAAAUGACGGUACCGAAUGAAUAAGCCACGGCUAACUACGUGCCAGCAGCCGCGGUAAUACGGAGGAUGCGAGCGUUAUCCGGAUUUAUUGGGUUUAAAGGGUGCGUAGGCGGAAUAUCAAGUCAGCGGUAAAAAUUCGGGGCUCAACCCCGUCGUGCCGUUGAAACUGAUGUUCUUGAGUGGGCGAGA
rnacentral:rRNA from 1 species